rnacentral:rRNA from 1 species
AGUGAACGCUGGCGGUAGGCCUAACACAUGCAAGUCGAACGGCAGCACAGUAAGAGCUUGCUCUUACGGGUGGCGAGUGGCGGACGGGUGAGGAAUACAUCGGAAUCUACUUUUUCGUGGGGGAUAACGUAGGGAAACUUACGCUAAUACCGCAUACGACCUACGGGUGAAAGCAGGGGAUCUUCGGACCUUGCGCGAUUGAAUGAGCCGAUGUCGGAUUAGCUAGUUGGCGGGGUAAAGGCCCACCAAGGCGACGAUCCGUAGCUGGUCUGAGAGGAUGAUCAGCCACACUGGAACUGAGACACGGUCCAGACUCCUACGGGAGGCAGCAGUGGGGAAUAUUGGACAAUGGGCGCAAGCCUGAUCCAGCCAUACCGCGUGGGUGAAGAAGGCCUUCGGGUUGUAAAGCCCUUUUGUUGGGAAGGAAAAGCAGCAGGUUAAUACCUCGCUGUUCUGACGGUACCCAAAGAAUAAGCACCGGCUAACUUCGUG